rnacentral:tRNA from 2 species
CGGGGCGUAGCGCAGGUUGGUUAGCGCACCUGCUUGGGGUGCAGGAGGCCGAAGGUUCGAGUCCUUUCGCCCCGACCA